GACGAACGCUGGCGGCGUGCUUAACACAUGCAAGUCGAGCGGAGCGGCGAACGGGUGAGUAACGCGUGAGUAACUGCCCCCCUCUCUGGGAUAACGGUUGGAAACGGGUGCUAAUACCGGAUAGUGGGGGAUGACUCGCGUCAUAUCCGCUUGUUGGUGGGGUAGUGGCCUACCACGGCGACGACGGUUGGCCGGCCUGAGAGGGCGACCGGCCACAGUGGGAUGAGAUACGGCCCAAACGCCUACGGGAGGCAGCAGUGGGGAAUAUUGCACAAUGGGGGAAACCCUGAUGCAGCAACGCGCGUGCGGGAGGACGGCCAUCGGGGUGUAAACCGCUUUCAGCCAUGACGCGGUAGUGGCAGAAGAAGCACCGGCUAACUACGUGCCAGCAGCCGCGGUAAUAC
rnacentral:rRNA from 1 species